GGGGUUGUAGCUUAGUGGUAGACUGCUUUCCUAGCAUGAAUGAGGCACUGGGUUCGAUGCUCAGCACUGCA
rnacentral:tRNA from 1 species